rnacentral:rRNA from 1 species
AACGAACGCUGGCGGCAUGCCUAACACAUGCAAGUCGAACGAAGCCUUCGGGCUUAGUGGCGCACGGGUGCGUAACGCGUGGGAAUCUGCCCUCAGGUACGGAAUAACUCAGGGAAACUUGAGCUAAUACCGUAUAAUGACUUCGGUCCAAAGAUUUAUCGCCUGAGGAUGAGCCCGCGUCGGAUUAGCUAGUUGGUGAGGUAAAGGCUCACCAAGGCGACGAUCCGUAGCUGGUCUGUGAGGAUGAUCAGCCACACUGGGACUGAGACACGGCCCAGACUCCUACGGGAGGCAGCAGUGGUGAAUAUUGGACAAUGGGCGCAAGCCUGUUCCAGCAAUGCCGGGUGAGUGAUGAAGGCCUUAGGGUUGUAAAGCUCUUUUACCCGGGAAGAUAAUGACUGUACCGGGAGAAUAAGCCCCGGCUAACUCCGUGCCAGCAGCCGCCGCCG